rfam:Triticum aestivum genome assembly, contig: Triticum_aestivum_CS42_TGACv1_scaffold_168195_2DL
UUUCUACUCCCUCCGUCCGAAAAUACUUGUCAUCAAAAUGGAUAAAAAGAGAUGUAUCUAAAAGUAAAUACGUCUAGAUUUUGAUCCAUUUUGAUGACAAGUAUUUCCGGACGGAGGGAGUAUUUG